UACGUAGGGGCUAGCGUUGUCCGGAUUUAUUGGGCGUAAAGAGCGUGUAGGCGGCCAGGUAGGUCUGCUGUGAAAACUCGAGGCUUAACCUCGAGAUGUCGGCGGAAACCAUCUGGCUAGAGUCCGGAAGAGGAGAAUGGAAUUCCCGGUGUAGCGGUGAAAUGCGCAGAUAUCGGGAAGAACACCCGUGGCGAAGGCGGUUCUCUGGGACGGUACUGACGCUGAGACGCGAAAGCGUGGGGAGCGAACAGG
rnacentral:rRNA from 1 species